AUCAAAAAGUGGCAUAAUUUGGACACAAGGGUCUUCAUAUUGCUAACUUUAAGUAAAAUGCUAGUAAUAUUCAAUUAUUUUUCAUCAUGAACAAUUGUAUUGUGUACUCAUGUUUAUAUAGACAAUGAUUUUUCAGUAUUGGUUGUGGACAAGAUGUAUUGGUUUUGUUUUAAGCAGAGCAGCCUCAUAUGUAAAUUUGUUGCCGGAACUGAACAUUGCAUUGUGUUUAUACGUAUUAUUUGUUAAUGUUUGUACAGUUGAAAGUAGGUUUAGUUCAAAACUCCUUACUCACUUUGUUUAGCAAAAACUCAGCAUGUUAUUUUUUAGCUUGUUUUCCAAUCAUCUAAAUGUUAUUUUCACAAGUCAACUUGUCCUACAGCCUCGGGUGGACUCUGACCACUAACAUCCGAGAAGGCUUGAUUUUUCCGGAAUCAAGAUAUAUGAUUUAAAAAGCCAGUUAUUUUAUUAAUAGAUAAGAAAAAUCAACCUGAAUGUAUGUAUACUUUUACUUUAGGUACAGCUAUGUCUAAUAGAAUUUUCAAAAACAAUAUGUUUUACAAUUUUAUCUGUUUCUUCAAACCAUAUGGGUAUUUUUUUUUUCCAACGUAAACUAUUAAACAUGUAAAAAUUUAUUCAUUAUUUUAAAAAAUUAUAUAAAUCAAAUAUGCAUAUAACUUAAUAUAGAUUUUGUUAUAAGGAAUCUAUUUGUAUUCAUUAAUAAAUGAUUUUGCUUAAAACAAGGAAAAAUCCAACCUUAAAUGCUGUCUUUUGAAUGUAAUUUGCCUGCACUGUAGGUGUUUAUUUUUAUCACUCAAUGAGUUUGAAGACUUUUUGUGUCAUUAAGUUGUUUAGGAUGCAACUAGUAGAGUCCUAAACUAAGCAAUAUUUGAACAGUUUUGGAUCCAAGGCUCCUUAGUUUUUUGGUGUUUUGAAGUAAAUGACUGGUACAGAAUUAAUUUGAAAUAAAUACACUUCAAAUGAU
rnacentral:sRNA from 1 species